rnacentral:rRNA from 1 species
UACGGAGGGGGCUAGCGUUGUUCGGAAUUACUGGGCGUAAAGCGCACGUAGGCGGCUUUUAAGUCAGAGGUGAAAGCCCGGGGCUCAACCCCGGAAUUGCCUUUGAGACUGGAUCGCUUGAAUCAUGGAGAGGUCAGUGGAAUUCCGAGUGUAGAGGUGAAAUUCGUAGAUAUUCGGAAGAACACCAGUGGCGAAGGCGGCUGACUGGACAUGUAUUGACGCUGAGGAGCGAAAGCGUGGGGAGCGAACAGG